GACGAGGGAUCCUAGCGUUGUUCGGAAUCAUUGGGCGUAAAGGGUGUGUAGGCGGCCAUAUAAGUCAGUUGUGAAAGCCCCGGGCUCAACCCGGGAAGUGCUUCUGAUACUGUUUGGCUUGAGUACUGGAGAGGUGAGUAGAAUUCCAGGUGUAGUGGUGAAAUACGUAGAUAUCUGGAGGAAUACCGGUGGCGAAGGCGGCUCACUGGCCAUGUACUGACGCUGAAACACGAAAGCGUGGGGAUCAAACAGG
rnacentral:rRNA from 1 species